rnacentral:rRNA from 1 species
UGGGGAAUCUUGCACAAUGGGCGAAAGCCUGAUGCAGCAACGCCGCGUGCGGGAAGACAGCCCUAGGGUUGUAAACCGCUUUCAGCAGGGAAGAAACUGACGGUACCUGCAGAAGAAGAUGCGGCCAACUACGUGCCAGCAGCCGCGGUGACACGUAGGCAUCAAGCGUUAUCCGGAUUUAUUGGGCGUAAAGAGCUCGUAGGCGGUUCGGUAAGUCGGGUGUGAAAACUCUGGGCUCAACCCAGAGAGGCCACUCGAUACUGCUGUGACUAGAGUGCGGUAGGGGAGCGGGGAAUUCCUGGUGUAGCGGUGAAAUGCGCAGAUAUCAGGAGGAACACCAGUGGCGAAGGCGCCGCUCUGGGCCGUAACUGACGCUGAGGAGCGAAAGCAUGGGUAGCAAACAGGAUUAGAUACCCUGGUAGUCCAUGCCGUAAACGUUGGGCACUAGGUGUGGGUCU